rnacentral:rRNA from 1 species
AAUGAAAGUGUCAGAGAGCGCCCCGCGCCCUCAGUGGGAGGAUGGGCUCCCGGACCUCCGUCCGGUGCCCCGCACUCCCGGGGCGUUUCAUUCUCAUUGCGAGUCGAGACGCACCAGGAGCGCACACGCUGGUACCCGAAAGAUGGUGAACUAUGCCUGGCCAGGACGAAGCCAGGGGAAACCCUGGUGGAGGUCCGAAGCGAUUCUGACGUGCAAAUCGAUCGUCUGAGCUGGGUAUAGGGGCGAAAGACCAAUCGAACCAUCUAGUAGCUGGUUCCCUCCGAAGUUUCCCUCAGGAUAGCUGGCUCUCGGGAAGAGACGAGUCUCAUCCGGUAGAGCGAAUGAUUAGAGGUGAUGGGGUCGAAACGACUUCAACCUAUUCUCAAACUCCCAAUAGAUGAGAGCCCCGGCUUGCUUGAAAGUGAAGCCGCGGGACUCGGAUCAGAGGUGCCAAGUGGGCCAAUUUUGGUAAGCAGAACUGGCGCUGUGGGAUGAACCAAACGCAGAGUUAAGGCGCCUGAUUCGACGCUCAUCUGAAACCAUGAAAGGCGUUGGUUGCUUAAGACAGCAGGACGGUGGCCAUGGAAGUCGGAAUCCGCUAAGGAGUGUGUAACAACUCACCUGCCGAAGCAACUAGCCCUGAAAAUGGAUGGCGCUGUAGCGUCGUGCCUAUACUCUGCCGUCAACGGCAAAGCGGGCGGCCCUUUACGGGGCGUCGCCGUUAAGCCUUGACGAGUAGGAGGGUCGCGGCGGUGUGCGCGGAAGGGUCUGGGCGUGAGCCCGCCUGGAGCCGCCGCCGGUGCAGAUCUUGGUGGUAGUAGCAAAUACUCCAGCGAGGCCCUGGAGGACUGAUGUGGAGAAGGGUUUCUUGUGAACAGCUGUUGCACAAGAGUCAGUCGAUCCUAAGCCCUAGGAGAAAUCCGAAGCGAUGGUCUGCCGUUAAGUU